AUGUGCUCCUCAGACCUGUGUUCUCCUGCUGGUCUGGACCAGCAUCAGGACCAGACCAGCAGCGUCACUCUGUCGUCACGGCGACCCACGGCGAGCCCGCUGGUGCCAGAGGGCGGAGUCAGGAGGUUGAGCAGCAUCAGCAGCAUCGAAGAGACUCUGACCAGUCACAACCAGACCUUCACCCUCAGCCCCGCCUCCCCCGCCACAGACACGCCCACAUUCUGUGACAGCGACCCGUCUGACUUCGUGGGGCGGGGAGAAGGUUCCGGAGGAUCCCAGACCCGAAUCCCGACUAGUCGAGACGGCCCGCCUUCCUCCUCCUCUCCUCUGUCAGAGAAGUCCCGCCUCCUUCAGCUGGGUGAAGACGAUCAGCAGGAGGAGCAGUCUGUCAGUCUUCAGCACUGUCAGCAGAUCGCCAACGAGCUGAGACAGACGGCGAGACGAGCCGUGCACCUGUACCAGCAGCUCGGCCCGUCGGUUGGCGAUCGGUGUCUUCAGAUGUCUUCCGUACUGGAGGGUGCGUUUGAUGUCGUUCACGCCGAGCUCCAGGCGGUGUUGCGGGGGAGUAGAGUCCCGUCCGCUGAGCUGCAGGAGGACGGGACAACGUCCCUUCUGGAGAAAUACUCCGAGCUGCUGGUUCAGAUGACCCAGAACAAGCUGAACCGGCUCUGAUCCGGGACCAACGCUAAGAGAGAGGACAACCCUCACUUUAUCAGUAUUACAUUUAAAGCACCUUUUAGUUAGUUUUUGUGACAUUUCAUCUGUUUUUAAGUGUUUUGAAUCGCAAUCAUUGUACAUAAAUCCUUGUUUUAUAUGUUCCU
ensembl:lncRNA